rnacentral:rRNA from 1 species
UACGUAGGGGGCGAGCGUUGUCCGGAGUUACUGGGCGUAAAGGGCAUGCAGGCGGUCGGACGCGUUUCGGGUGACAGCGGGUGGCUUAACUACCCGAGUGGUCGAAGGACGGUUUGACUUGAGGACGCGAGAGGGACACGGAAUUCCGGGUGGAGUGGUGAAAUGCGUAGAGAUCCGGAGGAACACCGAAGGCGAAGGCAGUGUCCUGGCGCGUAACUGACGCUGAGGUGCGAAAGCCAGGGGAGCGAACGGG